GGGCGGAGCUUUUCCCGCUUGGCAGAUGGAUGUCUUGUGAACUUAAAGGCAAAGUAAUCAACUUUACAUAAAUCGCAAGAUUCAAUUUCACAGGGUCGGACGCCACCAUACGUUCCAGAUUGUCGUAGACCUACUGUUUUGAUGAUAAUAAUAUAGCGUGAUUGGCAAUGCUGCUAAUGUAAAACUUCCUGUAACAUGUUGAGACUCAUCUGCAUGCCACGGACUGAGGGUGUGUUCACCAAAGUGAUGGGUGAGGGAGGAGGGGUGAAGUUGAAAGAUAACAGAGAAUGAAAGAAAGAGGGAGCUGUAUCUCUCUCUCUCACACACAGAGAACUGUGUGAUGCCCUGGCUGUCUCGAGACAACAUAUUUCAGGUUAAUAGUAAUCUUCAAUCACAGCACAUAUGAACUAUAUUAUGAGUUUAGUAGGUAUUUCACUUGUAUAUCCCACAUAUUAAGUCUGCCAUAUUCAUAUUGUAAAGAGGUUGUUUUUGUUAUAACAUAAACAUUUGUAGUACUUCAAAGGAUCAGUUAAUUCAUUAAAGUUACUCUUGAUGUUUGAUUGCUAUUAUAUGUAUCAAAACAUCUGUAUAAUGUACCAAAUUAAUCUAAUAAUUCAAUAAAAAUGUAAAUGAUAUUGAAAUAAUUAACAGACUUAUUUUCAAGAUAUUUUGAUUUGUCUUUCUGAUAAUGCAUUCCAUCAUUAUCCACCAAGAAUAAAAACAUUCUU